GGGCUGUGGUUUGCUGCAGGAUGAGUAAUCCAUUAUCAGAAAUGUUUUUUACAUUCUCCUUUUGAUAUUAUUUUUACAGAUAUAACCUUCACUUCAGACAUUCUUCCUUAAUUCCCUUGGGUACUUCCUCCAAUUCUUAACUGGGAAUGAUUUUGCCUGGGACUUCUAAACUCCAGAAUUCUGUUCCAGUUUAUCCUUUCUUCUUCUUUCCUGACUCCAUGUUGUCAACUUCAUCUACCCACUCACCAAACAGGUGGCAUCUAUGAGCUUUCCACUCUGAAUGUUCCCAGGCAAUAACUGGAGACAAUUAUGACUAUCACAAUGAGUGGAUGUUGCUACUGGCAGAGUUUAAGGAUACUGCUAUACAUCCUAGAGUGCACAUGACAGCCCUCCCAGCCUCAGGUUGAUGGGAAUUUGCAAUUCUUCUACAUGCCUGGGAAGUAGAGACCUAGAAUUACUGGUGGGCCUGCAGGUGAUUCUCUUCUUUAGGAUCUGAAGAAUUUCUGUGAAGCCUCAUGAACUGAUAGAAACCUCCCUACUGCAGCAAACCAGGUGUGGGACAAAUGUGUCCCUGAAUAAGUCACUGUUUGGCCAGGCAAGUCCAGUGAUGUGUUUGGGUCAUUCAUGCCCUUAUAGGAAAGGUAACCAAGGCUCAUCGCCAAGACUGUGAACAUCCUAGAUUGAAAGCUUCCAGAAACUUGUGUCUCUGAGGAUCAUUAAGACCGAGUGGUAAACAGGACCAAAGAUGAGACUGCACUUUUCUGCUCCAACUCCAAUAAUUUUGUACAAGCGGAUUCAGUUUAAAGGAAGCAAUGAGAACAAAAGGUGGCACAAGAAGAGAUGCAUUGAUCCCAUCUGCAGGCCCAGGCUCCUUUCAAGGACUAUAUUUUUACAUUGAACUUUGUUGCAUAUUUAUCUAAAUUAGCAAAAGCAAAUUGCAAUCACUAGAAGAAUCCAGAAUUUAGAGCAAGAGCUGAAGAAACAAACAUCCAGACAGAAAGUAUGAAGCAAAAUCAGCUUCAAGACAUUUUUCAAUGUAUCAGAAGCUAAUAAAAUCGAAGGAAGAUGAAUUGGUGAAGUGAAUAGACAAGUUGGUGGAUGAAACAAGGUAAAGUUUGCAGGUAAUCUAACCAGUUCACCAGCAGGAAAACUGUGUGUUUCAGGCUUGGUUCUGAGUAGAUGCAAGUCUGCCCUUUGCAUUGGUAAUCAGGAAUGUGCAUGCUGUCUGGUUCAAGGUUAUGCUACCUCUGUUGUCUUGACACAUCCAAACCAAUAAGUUAGAAAAAAAUUUAGCCCAGGCUUAUAAUGCCUUGGGAUUGUUUCCAGAAGCAAAUGCCAAACCUCAACCCAGGCCACUUGAGAUUCCUAUUAUCAUGGAUGUUGUUAAAUAAAAAAUGGCUGAGAGAUUUAGAAAUUAACAGAAGUAUUUCAAGACUUGCAAAGAAUGAUGUUUUUUUUUUUUACUGCAUUGCU